AUUCUCAGUUCGGAUUGUAGGCUGAAACUCGCCUACAUGAAGCUGGAGUUACUAGUAAUCGCAGAUCAGAAUGCUGCGGUGAAUGCGUUCCCGGGUCUUGUACACACCGCCCGUCACACCACGGAAGUUGGGGGCGCCCGAAGCCACUUAGCUAACCCUUUUGGGAAGCGAGUGUCGAAGGUGAAAUCAAUAACUGGGGUGAAGUCGUAACAAGGUACC
rnacentral:rRNA from 1 species